UGCUAGGUCUCUUCCGUUUGGUAGGAGACCAUAUCAUUCAAAUGAGCCAAAAGAGUGCCUAUAUUGGCAUGGAAUUUGCCAUCCCCCUCAUAGGCUGCUAUUCAAUGCUCUCAUGGCCUUCUGAGUGGAUUGAAGAAUCAUACGCCGAAGAGAUUAGAGCGUUAGGCGCAUGAUGGGAGACGAGCAUAUCUUUGCUCAUGUCCCUAUCAUCAAUCCAGUCGUUUUGAUGCUCAUUUGUGAAGGCUUGAAUAUUCAUGCCAUUUGCUGCUCUAACACUGGGGAUGUGCUUCUCAAUUUAUAAUUUUUUGCUCGAGAGAGAAAAGAAAGAUGGCGAAGGAGUUGAGGAAGACCUCUUCAAACAACAAUAGUUAUGGAAGAGGGUUCUUCCAAAAGAUGGCAAUGUUGAAGCCGUGUAGCUGAUGGCAGCGACACUCUAUGUAUGUGGCAGAUCGAGAGCUUAAUUCUGCAGAAUAACCAACUGAUGGCUUUAGGGAGGUUUCAAGUAACACAUUGCUACAGGGAAGCAAACUUUUAUUUGAUUCCUUGCUAAUGUAGACGUAGUUGAAAGACAUGAGAUAUUCUUUACAUUGAUCUACGCUUA